GUCCUGUGAUGACCUGUGGCGGAAGGUAAACCGAAGGUGACUGCGGUUAACGUCCUCGAUGGGAAUGGCCACCUUCAAGAAUUGAAAAAGAAGUUUAAGCACUGUUAUCAAUAUCAUCCAGCGUAACAGCUUUAUUCAACUGGAGCUAUCAGAUAUGAAAUUCCAGAUCAUGGGAGGGAGAGUUUGAAGAAGGAAGAACCACCAAUAGAAAGCGGUCCCCAAAGAGGUAUCGGGGAUGGCACCCAGACAGGAGCACAUGUACCACUGCCCAGAAUGUGCAUUUCACUAGACAAGUGACCACAAAAGGCGGAGCACAGAGGACUUUUAGGAUGGUGAAGCUACCCAGUGAGAGACUACAAUGAGAUAAUUGGUCUUUCACAUUCCUCGUGCUGUCACCAAAAAUAACAGAGCAACAGCAGGGUGGAGGAAGAGCACCAGCACGGUGGAGGAAGAGCACCAACAUGGCAGAUAAAGAGCACCAACAUGGCGGAGGAAGAGCACCAACAUGGCGGAGAAAGAGCACCAACAUGGCAGAGGAAAAGCACCAACAUGGCGGAGGAAGAACACCAACAUGGCGGAGGAAGAACACCAACAUGGCGGAGAAACAGCACCAACAUGGCGGAUGAAGAGCACCAACAUGAAGCUAACCGCGUUCUCUUCACAGUUUGCCUUUCUUCCUCUUCUUCGUUGCUUUGACCGUCCUGCACAUAUCCAUUCUUAUGUCCAUCACCAAGACCUGAAAACCUCCACUGACUGGCUUCCCUACAGACUGAGAAUAUGG
rnacentral:lncRNA from 1 species